UCAGGAUGAACGCUAGUGGCAGGCCUAAUACAUGCAAGUCGAACGGUGAUAGCAAUAUCAUAUUGGCGCACGGGUGCGUAACACGUAUGCAACCUACCUAUUAUUGGGGGAUAGCCUUUGGAAACGGAGAUUAAUACCGCAUAAUACGAUUGACUGGCAUCGGUUGAUUGUUAAAGCUUCGGCGAUAAUAGAUGGGCAUGCGUCCAAUUAUUUAGUUGGUUAGGUAACGGCUGACCAAGACGAUGAUUGGUAGGGGAUCUGAGAGGAUAAUCCCCCACACUGGCACUGAGAUACGGGCCAGACUCCUACGGGAGGCAGCAGUAGGGAAUAUUGGGCAAUGGGCGGAAGCCUGACCCAGCCAUGCCGCGUGCAGGAAGAAGGCGUUAUGCGUUGUAAACUGCUUUUUUAUACGAAGAAGGAUCCCUUGCGAGGGAAGGUGACGGUACUAUAAGAAUAAGCACCGGCUAACUCCGUGCCAGCAGCCGCGGUAAUACGGAGGGUGCAAGCGUUGUCCGGAUUUAUUGGGUUUAAAGGGUGCGUACGCGGUUUAUUAAGUCAGUGGUGAAAGACGGUCGCUCAACGAUUGCAGUGCCAUUGAUACUGGUAGACUUGAGUGAGAUUGAGGUAGCUGGAAUGGAUAGUGU
rnacentral:rRNA from 1 species